UACCAAUAGAAGAAGCGACGGCUAAAUACGUGCCAGCAGCCGCGGUAAUACGUAUGUCGCAAGCGUUAUCCGGAUUUAUUGGGCGUAAAGCGCGUCUAGGCGGUCUGGUAAGUCUGAUGUGAAAAUGCGGGGCUCAACUCCGUAUUGCGUUGGAAACUGCCAGACUAGAGUACUGGAGAGGUGGGCGGAACUACAAGUGUAGAGGUGAAAUUCGUAGAUAUUUGUAGGAAUGCCGAUGGAGAAGCCAGCCUACUGGACAGAUACUGACGCUGAAGCGCGAAAGCGUGGGGAGCAAACAGGAUUAGAUACCCUGGUAGUCCACGCCGUAAACGAUGAUUACUAAGCGUUGGGGGUCGAACCUCAGCGCCCAAGCUAACGCGAUAAGUAAUCCGCCUGGGGAGUACGUACGCAAGUAUGAAAC
rnacentral:rRNA from 1 species